UAUUCUGCCCCAUGGGGAAGGAUGAGAAGCUUCGACUAAGGUUCGACUCGAGCGCAGCGAGAGAACGUUGCCGCAGGCAACGGCCCGAAGGGCGAGG
rnacentral:sRNA from 1 species